UACAGAGGUCUCAAGCGUUGUUCGGAUUCAUUGGGCGUAAAGGGUGCGUAGGCGGCGCGGUAAGUCGGGUGUGAAAUCUCGGGGCUUAACUCCGAAACUGCAUUCGAUACUGCCGUGCUUGAGGACUGGAGAGGAGACUGGAAUUUACGGUGUAGCGGUGAAAUGCGUAGAUAUCGUAAGGAAGACCAGUGGCGAAGGCGGGGCUCUGGACAGUGCCUGACGCUGAGGCACGAAGGUCAGGGGAGCAAACGGG
rnacentral:rRNA from 1 species